rnacentral:rRNA from 1 species
AUUGAACGCUGGCGGCAGGCCUAACACAUGCAAGUCGAGCGGAUGACGGGAGCUUGCUCCUUGAUUCAGCGGCGGACGGGUGAGUAAUGCCUAGGAAUCUGCCUGGUAGUGGGGGACAACGUUUCGAAAGGAACGCUAAUACCGCAUACGUCCUACGGGAGAAAGCAGGGGACCUUCGGGCCUUGCGCUAUCAGAUGCGCCUAGUUCGGAUUAGCUAGUUGGUGGGGUAAUGGCUCACCAAGGCGACGAUCCGUAACUGGUCUGAGAGGAUGAUCAGUCACACUGGAACUGAGACACGGUCCAGACUCCUACGGGAGGCAGCAGUGGGGAAUAUUGGACAAUGGGCGAAAGCCUGAUCCAGCCAUGCCGCGUGUGUGAAGAAGGUCUUCGGAUUGUAAAGCACUUUAAGUUGGGAGGAAGGGCAGUAAGCUAAUACCUUGCUGUUUUGACGUUACCGACAGAAUAAGCACCGGCUAACUCUGUGCCAGCCGCCGCGGUAACAC